GAUAGACAUGUUUUCAACAGGGAUUAAAAAAAUGGCGACUUGGCCCGGAAUCUAUCGGGUCGACACGGGAAGCACCCAAUCCACGUCGUUUUAGGCAAAAAACUGGGAACCGCCCGAUUCGUAACAGUAAAUCGCCCAUUCUGAGAGAGAACCGCCCGAGUCAUGACCAAAACAGGGAUGAACAGUGUUGAGACAAAAAAAAAGUCACGAGAUUGCUAUAUAUUGCAGCUCUUUCUUCAAUUAUUGAUCAAUUAUAGCCGUUCUAUUGCAUUAUUGUUCGAAAUUAUUCGUUUUCUUUAUUAUAAAACGACUAAUUCAGACGAUUGAAUUACAAUUUGUUUUUCAUUUUUUACGAAAAAUCCUAAAUCCACCAUUCUUGAGAUUUCUUCAAAAUAUUGUAUGUUUUUUAUUCAAAUCAGAGGGUUUUUGAACGAAAUCAUUUUCUAUAGAUGAUUGUAAUAAAUUUUUUUGUGAUUCAGCAAAUAUUGGAUGCCAAUUUUUGAAGAAAUCAGAGGUUUCGUGAGAACAGUUGGUGGAAAAAUAAAUUCCGCAAAUCUUGAGAUCUGAAUCGAUAUGGGCAAAAACUUUUCUUGACAAUAGAGGGGUUUUACUUGUAAUCUUGAUCUUCACAAGCUAUUGCAGGCUUUUUGGUUGAUUUUUUGCGAAGUCAGAGGGAUUUUGUGGAGAAUAGUUCACGGAAAAAAAAAUUCCACCAAUCUUAAGAUCUUGAUCAAUAUAGGCCGAAUUUUCUCUUGAAAACAUAGGGGUUUUGCUAGUGAUCCUGAUCUUCAUAACGUAUUGCAGGAUUUUUGUGAGAUUAAGCAACACUAGUUGCACAAAUUUGCAAGAAAUCGAAGGUUGCUCGAAAUUGAGUUGUCGGGGUAUUCUGCUUUUGCUGCAAGUCUGAUAAAAUGCUUCUGAGCCAAAUAGCUUCACAUGCUGCACUUGUUGCUGAGAUGUAUUCGGCUUCUGCUGACGAUAGAGCAACAAUUUCUUGAUGACCACGAUAUCUCCUUUGUACCUAGGCAAAAUAUAUAGCCGGAAAUGCUUUUUCGAUCAUCAACAGGACUUGUCCAAUCAUUAUCAGAAAAUCCAACAAUAUUAAUAUUAUUUUAAGAAAUAUGUUUGA